rfam:Camelus ferus unplaced genomic scaffold scaffold707, whole genome shotgun sequence.
GAGGGUACAGCUCAGUGGUAGAGCGCAUGCUUGGCGUGCACAAGGUCCUGGAUUUAAUCCCCAGUACCUGCA